rnacentral:rRNA from 1 species
UACAGAGGUCCCAAGCGUUGUUCGGAUUUACUGGGCGUAAAGGGUGCGUAGGCGGUGGGGUAAGUUAGAGGUGAAAGCUCCGGGCUCAACCCGGAAACUGCCUUGAAAACUAUCCGGCUAGAGGGUUGGAGGGGAGACUGGAAUUCUCGGUGUAGCAGUGAAAUGCGUAGAUCUCGAGAGGAACACCAGUGGCGAAGGCGGGUCUCUGGACAACACCUGACGCUGAGACGCGAAAGCGUGGGGAGCGAACAGG